GUGUACUCCAGAUCAAGCCCCAAGAACUUCUCAUGAUCCAUUGCGGCGUCAAGCCAUCGUUCCUUCAACUGUUCAAGAAAAUACGGCAUCUCCCUGCUCUCGUUCGUGUACACGACAUCGAGCAUGGUCUUGCCAUGUGCGAGCACCUCUCCAAAGCGAGUUGGCAUGGUGGAAGAAGAGAAGGGAAGAAGAGAGGAGAAGAACACAGAGCGAGAGCGAGAGAGAAGAAGAAACAGAGAAAUGGCGACUCUGCUUCGGUUCGUGCUUUUCAUCGCCCGAAACGACGCGGGAUGCAAACCGUUUGGGCCUUUAGUCCCGGGUUGAGCCACCAACCGGGACUAAAGAGGUAUACCAACGGUUGCCACCACUACGGCAGGCCACGUG
rnacentral:lncRNA from 1 species